rnacentral:rRNA from 1 species
UGGGGAAUCUUGCACAAUGGGCGAAAGCCUGAUGCAGCAACGCCGCGUGCGGGAAGACAGCCCUAGGGUUGUAAACCGCUUUCAGCAGGGAAGAAACUGACGGUACCUGCAGAAGAAGAUGCGGCCAACUACGUGCCAGCAGCCGCGGUGACACGUAGGCAUCAAGCGUUAUCCGGAUUUAUUGGGCGUAAAGAGCUCGUAGGCGGUUCGGUAAGUCGGGUGUGAAAAUCUCUGGGCUCAACCCAGAGAGGCCACUCGAUACUGCUGUGACUAGAGUGCGGUAGGGGGAGCGGGGGAAUUCCUGGUGUAGCGGUGAAAUGCGCAGAUAUCAGGAGGAACACCAGUGGCGAAGGCGCCGCUCUGGGCCGUAACUGACGCUGAGGAGCGAAAAGCAUGGGUAGCAAACAGGAUUAGAUACCCUGGUAGUCCAUGCCGU